UACGAUUCAGUUAUGAAGUAGCAACAAAAA
rnacentral:piRNA from 1 species